rnacentral:rRNA from 1 species
UACGUAGGGGGCAAGCGUUAUCCGGAUUUACUGGGUGUAAAGGGAGCGUAGACGGUAAAGCAAGUCUGAAGUGAAAUGCCAGUGCUCAACACUGGAACUGCUUUGGAAACUGUUUGGCUGGAGUGCAGGAGAGGUAAGUGGAAUUCCUGGUGUAGCGGUGAAAUGCGUAGAUAUUAGGAGGAACACCAGUGGCGAAGGCGGCUUACUGGACUGUAACUGACGUUGAGGCUCGAAAGCGUGGGGAGCAAACAGG